rnacentral:rRNA from 1 species
UACGUAGGGGGCAAGCGUUUGUCCGGAUUUAUUGGGCGUAAAGAGCGUGUAGGCGGCCAGGGUAGGUCUGCUGUGAAAACUCGAGGCUUAACCUCGAGAUGUCGGCGGAAACCAUCUGGCUAGAGUCCGGAAGAGGAGAAUGGAAUUCCCGGUGUAGCGGUGAAAUGCGCAGAUAUCAGGAAGAACACCCGUGGCUAAGGCGGCUCUCUAGUACGGUACUGACGCUGAGACGCGAAAACGUGGGGAGCGAACAGG